UCCCUGGUGGCUCAGCUGGUAAAGAAUCCGCCUGCAAUGCAGGAGACCCAGGUUCGAUCCCUGGGUUGGGAA
rnacentral:tRNA from 1 species